GACGAACGCUGGCGGCGUGCUUAACACAUGCAAGUCGUACGGUAAGGCCCUUUCGGGGGUACACGAGUGGCGCACGGGUGAGUAACACGUGAGUAACCUGCCCACAACUUUGGGAUAACGCUAGGAAACUGGUGCUAAUACUGGAUAUGUGCUCCUGCUGCAUGGUGGGGGUUGGAACGCUCCGGCGGUUGUGGAUGGACUCGCGGCCUAUCAGCUUGUUGGUGGGGUAGUGGCCUACCAAGGCGGCGACGGGUAGCCGGCCUGAGAGGGUGACCGGCCACAUUGGGACUGAGAUACGGCCCAGACUCCUACGGGAGGCAGCAGUGGGGAAUAUUGCACAAUGGGCGCAAGCCUGAUGCAGCAACGCCGCGUGCGGGAUGACGGCCUUCGGGUUGUAAACCGCUUUCAGCAGGGACGAAGCUUUUUGUGACGGUACCUGCAGAAGAAGCACCGGCUAACUACGUG
rnacentral:rRNA from 1 species